GUGUGGCUCACUGGAAGAUGCAUCACCUCAUCAACACUCACUAUGAGCCUGCUGGACCUCUGUUUGAUAUCAAAACCCCUACAGGAGAAAUCUAUGAGCUUCAUCUUCCACACUGUGAGACAAACGGUGCUGCUGUUCCAGGAACCUGAUACAUCAUCGACACAGCAAAGGCUAUGGGUUUUUCUAUUGCCAAGUAAUGUUCCGGUCUCUGAGAUUAAAGAACAGCAAAAAGAGUAUAUGUUCAUCCAAACCAGCUCUGACUGCAAACUACAGAUAAAUGCAAAGUACGCUCUGAUCUCAAAAAAAGCCAAAAGAGUCCAACCGAAGGUAAGUGAAUUCAGAGAUGGUUUCUCCCAGACAUUUGCUUAUCCACAUCUGUUUUCACCGCAAAGACAACCACAAAGUUGUUUAAUCACACUGUGAAGUUAAAGGGAUACUCCACCCCAAAAUGAAAAUUUUGUCAUUAAUCACUUACCCCCAUGUCGUUCCAAACCCGUAAAAGCUCCGUUCGUCUUCGGAACACAAUUUAAGGUAUAGUAUUUUGGAUGAAAACCUGGAGGCUUGAGGCUGUCCCAUAGACUGCCAAGUAAAUAACAGUGUCAAGGUCCAUAAAAGGUAUGAAAGUCGUCAGAAUACUGCCAUCAGAUUUGCAAUCAGGGUUAUAUGAAGCGACGGAACACUUUUUGUAAGCGAAGAAACAAAAUAACUUAUUCAACAAUCCUUUGUCACAGUCUGUUUGUCUCCAUAUCACCGUAUGCUCUUCUGUAUCCGUGCCACAAGGAUGUGCUGUUUUCUUUCAAAUCAAAGCUAAAUACACGUAGAAACAGUGCAUGCUUGUGGUGUGGAUGAUAUAGAAGAGCAUUCAUAGCAUACUGUGAUAUGGAGAGAAACAGAGGAGACUGUUGACAAAGGAAUUGAAUAAAGUCGUUAUUUUUGUUUUCUUUGCCUACAAAAAGUGUUCCCGCCACUUCAUAUAACCCAGAUUACACGUGAAAUCUCAAACUAGUUGUUUUUAAUUAAAGAAAUCCGUUAUUAAGAAUAAUAAGACAUUUGGGCUAUUACCAGGCAAAUUAAAUCAGUAUCAACAAAAUCCGUCUUUGCAAUGCACAAAUUAAAUCAAGUAUACAACAAAAUCCGUCUUUGCAAUGCAGAGGAGGUCAUUUAGAUGUAUUUAUACACUGAUUAAUGCAUUUAAUCUGCAUUAACCUGCAGUUACAAAUGCAGAAAUAAUGUUUUGAUAUAUAAGACAUAAAGUUUUGAAUACUCAUUUGAAAUUAUUUAAAAAAAAAAUCAAGAUACUUUAAAUGUGAAAUUAAAACCGCCAGCAGGUGUCAGCAAGUCACUGUUAAUAAGUGAGUACCACUGUUAAUAAGUGAGUCGUUGCGAUUGAACCGAAUCAUUCAAACAGUUGAUUCAUUCAGGAACAAAACACAAUCAUAAUUGCUCAGAGAUGCAAAACUGCUAUGGUAGCUGUGUUUGGAAUUAUUUUUGUUAUCAAAAUAGCAAUAUGGUGUCUAUGGUGCCUAAACGCAAAUCCAGGGAUUAAAGCUGACUGAAAAAUUUUCCUCAGCCUUACCUUUUUAGGAGCGCUUGUCCUCCUAAAAUAGGAGCACCUCCUGAUCAAUAAUCAAAAAUUCUGAUCAAAAAUGAUCCUUCCUAAUACGAGGUGACAUUUGACUCCAUAAAGUGACAUACAGGGGUGCUUUCUUUUUACCUUUGUAAUGGCAUCAUUUUAAUCUGUCAAAUUCAAAAAAUGUAUGUUUAUAAGGUUUUUAAAUGUUUAUUUAUAUUAUUUCUAUAUUAUUUAUAUACGAAGCAGAAUAAGACAAAUAAGUUACCAAUCAUAUGAAAUUAGUAUUAAUAAAAAAUGAAUUUGUACUACAGAGGUGGCACAGAAGAACACAAAAGUGUCUUGUAGGUACAUUUUCAGAUGUUUAAUGAGGCUCAGAGGUGGCAUGAGUACAAUUAAAUUCAUACAUUCAUUUCAUUCAUACAUUCAUUUCAUAAUCAUACAUUUUGAAUACAGAAAUAUUAAACGAUUUAAAUGACUGAAAUUAUAGCUAAUGAAACUAAAUCCGCCAGCAGGUGGUGGCAAGUCACUGAUUUUAUCACUGAAUCAUUCCUUUAAUUGAUUUGGUCGAAUGGCUGAUUCAUUCAGGAAUGAAGCAAGUGACUGUCUUUAUGAAUGUGUAAUCAUGAAUCACUGACUCACUAGAUUCGUUCAAAAACUCACUUUCAUUGAAUGAAUGAAACUUGGCUGUGCUGUUACUAAAUUUGGAACUAUUUUCAUUAAAAAAUAGAACAUAAUCAAGCAAAAUCAAGCAGUACUUGUUUAUUGAACUGUUGUAUCAAAUCAAUAUCACAUUUGCAAACUCCCUUAAUAACUAUUAAAAGCUGUCACGGUGGGCGCACAGAGUGAGUUCUCAAGACUCAAAAGCAAGUGCAAAUGAUACAUUUGGUCAUCUGUCCUUGCGUUAUAAGCGCGGAACCUGCGGGAAUGAGUAGAAUUGUUAUUAAUAGCCGCAAUCCUGCGCCGAAAUUCAAAUUCAGAAUGUUCCCUGUUAGUAACCCUACUGUGAAUGAUGCGAGCGGCAUCACUAUGUUGUCACCGUCACUGAGAAGCUGCGGCCGUGGCGGGGAUGAUUUUUGGUGUGCGUGUGUAGUGCCGAAAUUUUGUAACCUGCAGAUUAUGCACCCCCUAGUAUUGGUAGGUUUAGGAGUAGGUGUGGGGGAGGGGUUAGGAUUAGGCAAUCAUGUAGCAGGGUGAGCGUGAUUUCACCCAAGUACAACAUGUUCCUGGAUCAACGUCCUUGUACAAAAAAUCCUUGGAACAAAAUUCCAAUCAGAACUGAGAUAUAACUAUAACUUCAGGAAAUAUCGCUUACAAUCAGGGUUAGGUGCUUCUUCACUCUAGUUUAUUAGCUAUCAUUUCCCACUGAUUUUAGGAAUAAAUGAUGGGUAGGGUUAGGUUUAGGGGUAGGGAUUGGGUUAGGUCUAUAUUUUUGGACAAUAAUGUUGAUCCAGGAUCAUCAAAAGAUGUUGAACCAGGAACAUGUCUUACUUGGCAAAAUCACGGCGACCUAUGUGGCAGGGGAUCAGAAUUCGGCACAACAGGUGUCCCAACCCUAAACCUACCCUUAGGAUAAAUACAGUGUUGGUAGCAUAAUCUGAUAGGUAGCAUUAUUUGUCAGAACAACAACAACAAUGCGCUGCCACAUGUUUAUUUUCCCCUCAAUUUUUCGAAUAACGGAAAUCAGUCGUAUCGACGGAGAACUUUAAUUUCUCUUAAUUAACUUCUUUACUGAACUGUUGUAAAAAUAAAUAAAUAAAUAAAUAAAUAAAUAAAUAAAUAAAAAAUCUAUAUGUAAUCAUGCUAAUUUUUGGAGGAAAAAACGGCACUCUUCGUGUCGUGGGAUGUUGAUUUACUAUACGAAAUGAUAUAAAUAUGUACAUUUUCUGCCCCUAUAUCUUCAAGUUUUUUGUGAUCAUUCUAAAUGCAUAGAACGCACUCUAAAUGCGCACGCGCACUAGUCUAAUCUACUAGACCACAGCACUCUAUAGUGAGUGUUUUGUUUGGUUUUUGGCAAAAUACUGAUAAUAUCAAAUAGCACAUCGUUAAAACAGACGAUAUAUAGGCUAUCGUAAACCCUGCACCACUGUCUUUUUGGCUAAUUUGAGCAAAACCUUUUGCCGAACUGUCAAAGCUUACAUUUUAACCACAAAUGCAACGAUGCAA
rnacentral:lncRNA from 1 species